GACGAACGCUGGCGGCGUGCCUAAUACAUGCAAGUUGAGCGCUGAAGGUUGGUACUUGUACCAACUGGAUGAGCAGCGAACGGGUGAGUAACGCGUGGGGAGUCUGCCUUUGAGCGGGGGACAACAUCUGGAAACGAAUGCUAAUACCGCAUAAAAACUUUAAACACAAGUUUGAUGUUUGAAAGAUGCAAUUGCAUCACUCAAAGAGGAUCCCGCGUUGUAUUAGCUAGUUGGUGAGGGAAAGGCUCACCAAGGCGAGGAUACAUAGCCGACCGGAGAGGGUGAUCGGCCACAUUGGGACUGAGACACGGCCCAAACUCCUACGUGAGGCAGCAGUAGGGAAUCUUCGGCGAUGGACGAAAGUCUGACCGAGCAACGCCGCGUGAGUGAAGAAGGUUUUCGGAUCGUAAAACUCUGUUGGUAGAGAAGAACGUUGGUGAGAGUGGAAAGCUCAUCAAGUGACGGUAACUACCCAGAAAGGGACGGCUAACUACGUG
rnacentral:rRNA from 1 species